AAGAAUUUGGGCGAUAUGCAUACUUUAAUUGAGGGGGAAUAUUCAAUUAAGGGGGAAUUACAUUGAAUUGAAUUGGUUGCAUAAAUUGUAUGUUGCAUAAAUGUUGAGAUAUAGCAUCUACUUAGGGGGAAUUCAAUAUGCAUAUCUUCCGUUGUUUGUCAUUAUCAAAAAGGGGGAAAUUGUUGGAAAUCAUGUAUAUCUAUGAUAUGUGCGCNN
rnacentral:lncRNA from 1 species